GAUGAAGAACGUAGCGAAAUGCGAUACUUGGUGUGAAUUGCAGAAUCCCGUGAACCAUCGAGUCUUUGAACGCAAGUUGCGCCCGAAGCCAUUAGGCCGAGGGCACGCCUGCCUGGGCGUCACACGUCGUUGCCCCCCCCAUCUACUCCUUCGGGAUUGCGGGGGGCGGAUGAUGGCCUCCCGUGUGCCUCGCCGCGCGGUUGGCAUAAAUGCCAAGUCCUCGGCGACGCACGCCACGACAAUCGGUGGUUGCGAAACCUCGGUUGCCCGUCGUGUGCGGUCGUCGCGCAUCGAGGGCUCGAAAAAAUUGCCGGGUUCCGGCUCGGCUUUCAACGCGACCCCAGGUCAGGCGGGGUUACCCGCUGAAUUUAAGCAUAUCAAAAGCGGAGGA
rnacentral:misc_RNA from 1 species